rnacentral:rRNA from 1 species
GUGGGGAAUCUUGCGCAAUGGGCGAAAGCCUGACGCAGCCAUGCCGCGUGAAUGAUGAAGGUCUUAGGAUUGUAAAAUUCUUUCACCGGGGACGAUAAUGACGGUACCCGGAGAAGAAGCCCCGGCUAACUUCGUGCCAGCAGCCGCGGUAAUACGAAGGGGGCUAGCGUUGCUCGGAAUUACUGGGCGUAAAGGGAGCGUAGGCGGACAUUUAAGUCAGGGGUGAAAUCCCAGAGCUCAACUCUGGAACUGCCUUUGAUACUGGGUGUCUUGAGUGUGAUAGAGGUAAGUGGAACUCCGAGUGUAGAGGUGAAAUUCGUAGAUAUUCGGAAGAACACCAGUGGCGAAGGCGACUUACUGGAUCAUUACUGACGCUGAGGCUCGAAAGCGUGGGGAGCAAACAGG